UCCCUCAGAGCUUAGAUGGUAAAGCAUCUGCCUGAAAUGCAGGAGACAACGGUUCAAUCCCUGGGUGAG
rnacentral:tRNA from 1 species